GGAAAAAAAAUCCCACAUAAUUUACGUACUUCCGCUCCUACCGGAAGUAUUGAUCAGGCAAGAAAUCUUCCAUCAUGGUUCCUCCUGUUGCAGUGUCACCGCUUAUAAAGACGGCCAGGUGGUCCGCUCUGCUGAUUGGGGUGAUCUAUGGAAAGCAGAGGUUUAAUUACCUGAAGCCGAUCGCUGAAGAAGAGCGAAAGGUUGAGGAAGCCGAGAAGAAGGCCAGAGAGGAGCAGGAACGCAUCAACAAACAGCUAGCAGAAGCAAAUUCUGACACCAUCCUGAAAUGAAGCAAAUCUGUAACCUGUGCUGAGAUGUUCUCAGAUGAAUAAAAACUUCAACAUUUUUCAUUUA